rnacentral:rRNA from 1 species
AUUGAACGCUGGCGGCGUGCUUAACACAUGCAAGUCGAGCGGUAACAGGCGUAGCAAUACGUGCUGACGAGCGGCGAACGGGUGCGUAAUACAUCGGAAUCUGCCUCGUAGUGGGGAAUAACCCGGCGAAAGCCGGGCUAAUGCCGCAUACGAUCCACGGAUGAAAGCGGGGGACCGUAAGGCCUCGCGCUAUGAGAUGACCCGAUGUCGGAUUAGCUAGNGGUGAGGUAACGGCUCACCAAGGCGACGAUCCGUAGCUGGUCUGAGAGGACGGCCAGCCACACUGGGACUGAGACACGGCCCAGACUCCUACGGGAGGCAGCAGUGGGAAUAUUGGACAAUGGGGAAACCUGAUCCAGCGACGCCGCGUGUGUGAAGAAGGCCUGCGGG